rnacentral:rRNA from 1 species
CGCCUGUUUAUCAAAAACAUUUCUAUUAGAACUAAUUAAUAGUAAAAUCUGCCCACUGUAAAUAUAAAGAGCCGCAAUAUGUGCUAAGGUAGCAUAAUCAUUUGUCUUUUAAAUGAAGACUUGAACAAAAGAUUAAACAUUUCAAUUUAUUUUAAUAAUUUAAUUUUCAAAUUUUUCUUAAAUGUUAUAAGACAUUUAUAAAAAAGAAAGACGACAAGACCCUAUUGAACUUUACUGUAGUUUAACUGGGGCAGUUAUUUAAUUAAUACUUUAAUUUUAAUAUUUCCAUUUUUAUCCAAAAAAAUUGAAUAAUCUAGUUACCAUAGGGAUAACAGCAUAAUUAUUUUUUAAAGUUCUUAUAUAAAAUAUAGAUUGUGACCUCGAUGUUGAAUUAAUAACCUAACUAAAGCAAGAUUUAUUAAAGGAAGUCUGUUCGACUUUUAAAAAAUUACGUGAUCUGAGUUCAGACCGGA